rnacentral:rRNA from 1 species
CAAUAGCGUAUAUUAAAGUUGUUGCAGUUAAAAAGCUCGUAGUUGGAUUUGUGGUUCGUCCCGCCGGCUGGGUCAUUGACUUUUGCUGUGCUGGUCGUCCAUCCUUGGGUGGAAUCUGUGUGGCAUUAGGUUGUCGCGCAGGGGAUGCCCAUCGUUUACUGUGAAAAAAUUAGAGUGUUCAAAGCAGGCUUAUGCCGUUGAAUAUAUUAGCAUGGAAUAAUGAUAUAGGACCUUGGUACUAUUUUGUUGGUUUGCGCAUCGAGGUAAUGAUUAAUAGGGACAGUUGGGGGUAUUCGUAUUCCAUUGUAAGAGGUGAAAUUCUUGGAUUUUUGGAAGACGAACUACUGCGAAAGCAUUCACCAAGGAUGUUUUCAUUAA